rnacentral:rRNA from 1 species
UACGUAGGGUGCGAGCGUUAAUCGGAAUUACUGGGCGUAAAGCGUGCGCAGGCGGUUUUGUAAGCCAGAUGGGAAAUCCCCGGGCUUAACCUGGGAAUGGCAUUUGGGACUGCAAGGCUGGAGUUUGGCAGAGGAGACUGGAAUUCCUGGUGUAGCAGUGAAAUGCGUAGAUAUCAGGAGGAAUACCGAUGGCGAAGGCAGGUCUCUGGGCUAUAACUGACGCUCAUGCACGAAAGCGUGGGGAGCAAACAGG